rnacentral:rRNA from 1 species
AGCUCAGCAUUGGGUGUAAAGUGUGCGCAGGCGGUUUUGUAAGACAGAGGUGAAAUCCCCGGGCUCAACCUGGGAACUGCCUUUGUGACUGCAAGGCUGGAGUGCGGCAGAGGGGGAUGGAAUUCCGCGUGUAGCAGUGAAAUGCGUAGAUAUGCGGAGGAACACCGAUGGCGAAGGCAAUCCCCUGGGCCUGCACUGACGCUCAUACACGAAAGCGUGGGGAGCAAACA